rnacentral:rRNA from 1 species
AGCCUGAACGCUGGCGGCGUGGCUAAGACAUGCAAGUCGUACGGGUGUAGCAAUACACCAGUGGCGAACGGGUGAGUAAUGUAUCGCUAAUGUGCCCCGGAUUCUGGGAUAGCUACCCGAAAGGGUAGGUAAUACCAGAUGAUAUAACUUUGCCGCAUGGCAGAGUUCUCAAAGGAGUAAUCCGCUCUGGGAGCAGGCGAUAUCGUAUCAGCUAGUUGGUGAGGUAACGGCUCACCAAGGCGACGACGCGUAGCCGGACUGAGAGGUUGGCCGGCCACAUUGGGACUGAGACACUGCCCAGACUCCUACGGGGGGCUGGCAGUAACGAAUCUUCCGCAAUGCACGAAAGUGUGACGGAGCGACGCCGCGUGUGGGACGAAGCCCUUCGGGGUGUAAACCACUGUCAGGGGUUAGAAAGUUCUGAUCAACCCAGAGGAAGGCACGGCUAACUCUGCGCCAGCAGCCGCGGU